AUUGAACGCUGGCGGCAUGCCUUACACAUGCAAGUCGAACGGCAGCACGGGAGCAAUCCUGGUGGCGAGUGGCGAACGGGUGAGUAAUAUAUCGGAACGUGCCCGGUCGUGGGGGAUAACGUAGCGAAAGCUACGCUAAUACCGCAUACGAUCUACGGAUGAAAGCGGGGGAUCGCAAGACCUCGCGCGAUUGGAGCGGCCGAUAUCAGAUUAGGUAGUUGGUGAGGUAAAGGGCUCACCAAGCCGACGAUCUGUAGCUGGUCUGAGAGGACGACCAGCCACACUGGGACUGAGACACGGCCCAGACUCCUACGGGAGGCAGCAGUGGGAAUUUUGGACAAUGGGCGCAAGCCUGAUCCAGCAAUGCCGCGUG
rnacentral:rRNA from 1 species